rnacentral:tRNA from 1 species
GUCUUGGAUAGCCUUGUGGUUGGGGCGUUCGACUCACAAUCGUUCAUCCCGGGGUUUGAGUCCCCGUGAGAUU